rnacentral:rRNA from 1 species
ACGCUGGCGGCGUGCCUAAUACAUGCAAGUCGAGCGAACCACUUCGGUGGUGAGCGGCGAACGGGUGAGUAACACGUAGGUCAUCUGCCCAUCAGACGGGGACAACGAUUGGAAACGAUCGCUAAUACCGGAUAGGACGAAAGUUUAAAGGUGCUCCUGGCACCGCUGAUGGAUGAGCCUGCGGCGCAUUAGCUAGUUGGUAGGGUAACGGCCUACCAAGGCGACGAUGCGUAGCCGACCUGAGAGGGUGAACGGCCACACUGGGACUGAGACACGGCCCAGACUCCUACGGGAGGCAGCAGUAGGGAAUCUUCGGCAAUGGGCGAAAGCCUGACCGAGCAACGCCGCGUGAAUGAUGAAGGCCUUCGGGUUGUAAAAUUCUGUUAUAAGGGAAGAACGACUUUAGUAGGAAAUGGCUAGAGUGUGACGGUACCUUAUGAGAAAGCCACGGCUAACUACGUGCCAGCAGCCGCGGUAAUACGUAGGUGGCGAGCGUUAUCCGGAAUUAUUGGGCGUAAAGAGCGCGCAGGUGGUUGAUUAAGUCUGAUGUGAAAGCCCACGGCUUAACCGUGGAGGGUCAUUGGAAACUGGUCAACUUGAGUGCAGAAGAGGGAAGUGGAAUUCCAUGUGUAGCGGUGAAAUGCGUAGAGA